CUCAACCUAGCAGUUCACUAUUUUAGCCUCAGAGGAGUCAGAGAAAAGCUCUCACAGAAGGAUACAAAACCCCAAAGUAAAUUCCUGCGUUUGUAUCCAACUCAUGGAGUUUUAUUAACCACCUGUCUUUUCAUAGGUAGCCACCAUCCUUCUCUGGGCAGCCCAGCUCAGAGCCCUGCUGCAGGGACACCACACUGUCUGUGCUAUGGUUUGUCCUCAGAAGGUGCUGGAAGCCAUACCCAGCAGCUGGCAGGUGGGAAGCAGAGUCUCUGUGGAUGGGUGGAGUAAAUGCUGUGAGGUUACGGCUUUUAAGGAAAUACGAGUGGACACAGUCGCCAUGGGAAAAAUGAAGGCCUGUCAAAACCAGAAGAUUUCAUGAAAUUAUUUGUUUUUUCUUAAAACUUUUUUAGGAAUUAAAAAAAAUAUUUUGCUAAG
rnacentral:lncRNA from 1 species